rnacentral:rRNA from 1 species
UACCGAGGUCUCAAGCGUUGUUCGGAUUCAUUGGGCGUAAAGGGUGUGUAGGUGGCGCCGUAAGUCGGGUGUGAAAUUUCGGAGCUUAACUCCGAAACUGCAUUCGAUACUGCGGUGCUUGAGGACUGGAGAGGAUGGUGGAAUUCCCAGUGUAGAGGUGAAAUUCGUAGAUAUUGGGAAGAACACCGAUGGCGAAGGCAGCCAUCUGGACCGACACUGACGCUGAGGCGCGAAAGCGUGGGGAGCAAACAGG